AUGGGCAAGGGUGACCCCAGCAAGCCACAAGGCAAAUUGUCCUCAUACGCCUUCUUUGUGCAGAGCACAAGAAGCAUCCCGACUCGUCAGUCAAUUUCACCAAGUUCUCCAAGAAAUGCUCCGAGAAAUGGAAGACCAUGUCUGCAAAGGAAAAGUCGAAGUUUGAAGAUUUGGCCAAGAGCAACAAAGUUCGUUAUGACAGGGAGAUGAAGAACUAUAUAUAUGUUCCUCCCAAUGGUGAUAAGAAAGGAAAGAAAAAAGAUCCAAAUGCUCCGAAGAGACCACCGUCUGCCUUCUUCCUGUUUUGCUCUGAAAAUCGCCCAAAGAUCAAAAUUGAACACCCUGGCCUGUCUAUUGGAGAUCCUGUGAAGAAACUGGAUGAGAUGUGGUUUGAGCAAUCUGCCAAAGAGAAACAACCAUGUGAGCAGAAAGCAGCUAAACUAAAGGAGAAGUAUGAAAAGGAUAUUGCUGCAUACCAUGCCAAGGGCAAAAGUGAAGUAGGAAAGAAGGGUCCUGGUAGGCCAACAGGAUCAAAGAAGAAGAAUGAACCAGAAGAUGAGGAAGGAGAAGAGAAGGAAGAGGAGGAAGAUGAGGAGGGGGAAGAUGAGGAUGAAGAAUAAGUGGCAGUCCUAAAGUGUGGAAUAUAUGUGUUCGGGCAAUUAUUUUGCUAAGAAUGUGAAAUUCAAGUGCAGCUCAACAUUAGCUUCAGUAUAAAAACUGUACAGAUUUUUGUAUAGC